ACCCAUCCCGAGAGACAGCCCGAGCCUCCGAAUUAACAAAGUUUUCAUUUCCUUCUGCUUUCUGACCCCAGGUCAGCCAAGACCAGCCAUGCAUUGUGCUGGGGAGAUUGCUCAGUCCAAGAUUGUGCUUCAGAUAAGAGUUUGGAUGAUUAUGAUUAAUACGACUGCUGUAUUUGUCUGACAGGUGGACUGAUAAAUAGAUAUUGUUGCUAGGACUACAUUCCUUCCUGAUAUGAUAAACACUACAGACAGCCUGAAACGCUGCUGUUUCUUGGAGAUCCGUGAAACCAGAGGUCAGGGCAGCGUGUACCUUGCCCUUUGAUUGUACUUGGAUAAAGGACUUCAGUCCUUUAAGUGAACAGUGAUGAUUUCAUCACGGCCUGACAUGUCCCUAGUUUCCAGUAAGGAAAACAAACAAAACCUCACAGUUUGAGAACACAGCCCAGACAUGCUGAAUGCUCAUAAAAGGGCAGAAUCCACAGAUCCAAUAGAAAAAGAACAGAAGAAUUUUUGGACCUUCUCCGCAAGCACAUACUGUGCCUGAAGCUGCCUGAACUCCCCCUGGCUGCUGCGCUUCCCAUGCACCAGUGACAGCCCUACACUGCUGCAAGGAUCCACAUGAAUUAAUCUGCCUUGUUAGCUGUCCCAGAGUAA